rnacentral:lncRNA from 1 species
AUCUGAUCAAAAUGCUCUAAGUUGAUGCCAUUGCUUCAUACCUGAGCUCUUUGAUCUAGAUUAGCAUUCGGGGACCCUUCGUUCCGUUUGAUAUUCCGUGAUCUCUAGCAUUAUCUGGUUAUUAUACAAGAACUCCGAAGCAAUCUCAGCAUGGUGGAUACGCCGCUGGAGAUAAUGCUUAGGACUUAUCAAGACAUACUUAGGCGGACCUGUGCCUUAGUGACUUCAAACGAGACAAGAACUAGUUAAUUUAUGUUAUGUACACUUUGGUUCUUGUUUAAACAAUGUAAACUUCCAUGUUUGAUUAAUAAAACGAAACAUCA